rnacentral:rRNA from 1 species
CCUACGGGUGGCUGCAGUGGGGAAUAUUGCACAAUGGGCGCAAGCCUGAUGCAGCCAUGCCGCGUGUGUGAAGAAGGCCUUCGGGUUGUAAAGCACUUUCAGCGGGGAGGAAGGCGUUAAGGUUAAUAACCUUGUCGAUUGACGUUACCCGCAGAAGAAGCACCGGCUAACUCCGUGCCAGCAGCCGCGGUAAUACGGAGGGCGCAAGCGUUAAUCGGAAUUACUGGGCGUAAAGCGCACGCAGGCGGUCUGUCAAGUCGGAUGUGAAAUCCCCGGGCUCAACCUGGGAACUGCAUUCGAAACUGGCAGGCUAGAGUCUUGUAGAGGGGGGUAGAAUUCCAGGUGUAGCGGUGAAAUGCGUAGAGAUCUGGAGGAAUACCGGUGGCGAAGGCGGCCCCCUGGACAAAGACUGACGCUCAGGUGCGAAAGCGUGGGGAGCAAACAGGAUUAGAUACCCUUGUAGUC